AUUGAACGCUGGCGGCAGGCCUAACACAUGCAAGUCGAACGAGUGGCGGACGGGUGAGUAAUGUCUGGGAAACUGCCUGAUGGAGGGGGAUAACUACUGGAAACGGUAGCUAAUACCGCAUACCAUCGGAUGUGCCCAGAUGGGAUGGGCUAGUAGGUGGGGUAACGGCUCACCUAGGCGACGACGCCUAGCUGGUCUGAGAGGAUGACCAGCCCCACUGGAACUGAGACACGGUCCAGACGACUACGGGAGGACGCAGUGGGGAAUAUUGAGCACGUGGCGCAAGCCUGAUGCAGCCAUGCCGCGUGUAUGGAGAAGGCCUUCGGGUUGUAAAGUACUUUCAGCGGGGAGGCGUUACCCGCAGAAGAAGCACCGGCUAACUCCGUGCCAGCAGCCGCGGUAAUAC
rnacentral:rRNA from 1 species